CGAGAAAGUCACUUCGGUGGCGAGUACAGUGGCGCACGGGUGAGUAACGCGUAGAUGAUCUACCCUUCAGUCUGGGACAACUCUUGGAAACGGGAGCUAAUACCGGAUAAAACCUUCGGGUUGAAAGAUUUAUCGCUGGGGGAUGAGUCUGCGUACCAUUAGCUUGUUGGUGGGGUAAUAGCCUACCAAGGCGACGAUGGUUAGCGGGUCUGAGAGGACGAUCCGCCACACUGGAACUGAGACACGGUCCAGACUCCUACGGGAGGCAGCAGUAGGGAAUAUUGCGCAAUGGGGGCAACCCUGACGCAGCAAUGCCGCGUGAGUGAAGAAGGCCUUCGGGUCGUAAAGCUCUUUUAUGGGGGAAGAUGAUGACGGUACCCCAUGAAUAAGCACCGGCUAACUACGUGCCAGCAGCCGCGGUAAUACGUAGGGUGCGAGCGUUGUUCGGAAUUACUGGGCGUAAAGGGCGUGCAGGCGGAUUGGCAAGCCGGAGGUGAAAGCCCGGGGCUCAACCCCGGAGGGUCUUUCGGAACUGCCAGUCUUGAGAGGGUCAGGGGCCAGCGGAAUUCCUGGUGUAGAGGUGAAAUUCGUAGAGAUCAGGAGGAACACCGGCGGCGAAAGCGGCUGGCUGGGGCCACUCUGACGCUGAG
rnacentral:rRNA from 1 species